UACGUAGGGCGCAAGCGUUGUCCGGAAUUAUUGGGCGUAAAGAGCUCGUAGGUGGUGUGUCGCGUCUGCCGUGAAAGCCCGGGGCUUAACUCCGGGUCUGCGGUGGAUACGGGCAGACUAGAGGCAGGUAGGGGAGAACGGAAUUCCCGGUGUAGCGGUGAAAUGCGCAGAUAUCAGGAGGAACACCGGUGGCGAAGGCGGGUCUCUGGGCCGAUACUGACGCUGAGGAGCGAAAGCGUGGGGAGCGAACAGG
rnacentral:rRNA from 1 species